rnacentral:rRNA from 1 species
AUUGAACGCUGGCGGCAGGCCUAACACAUGCAAGUCGAACGAGUGGCGGACGGGUGAGUAAUGUCUGGGAAACUGCCUGAUGGAGGGGGAUAACUACUGGAAACGGUAGCUAAUACCGCAUACCAUCGGAUGUGCCCAGAUGGGAUUAGCUAGUGGGUGGGGUAAAGGCUCACCUAGGCGACGAUCCCUAGCUGGUCUGAGAGGAUGACAGGCCAAACUGGAACUGAGACAGGUGCCAGACUCCUACGGGAGGCAGCAGGGGGGAAUAUGGCACAAGGGGCGCAAGCCUGAGGCAGCCAGGCCGCGUGUAUGAAGAAGGCCUUCGGGUUGUAAAGUACUUUCAGCGGGGAGGCGUUACCCGCAGAAGAAGCACCGGCAAACUCCGUGCCAGCAGCCGCGGUAAUU